rnacentral:lncRNA from 1 species
AGCUUAUAUUCAUAAAAAGCAUGGUUAGGAGCUGAAUUGUGUUAUCCUAGAGUUCAUAUGUUGGAGUCCUGACCCUCAGGACCUCAGAAUGUGACUGUUUUUGGAGAUGAGGUCUUUAACAAGGUAAUUAAGUUAAAAUGAGAUCAUUAGGAUGAGUCCUAAUCCAAUUGACUGGUGUCCUUAUAAGAAGAGGAAAUUUGGAUGCAGACAGGCACAGAGGGAAGACUACAUAAAGGCAGAAGGUGAAGACAACCAUUUACAAAUAAGGAGAGAGGUGUCGGAAGAAACAAAACCUGCCGACACCCUGAUAUCAGACUCCUGGCCUCCAGAACGAAUCAUCGAGAACUAAAACUACUCUUCUUCCUGAAGCCCUGCAAACUGAAGCUGGAUGACGUGAUAUAAACUUCAGAGAUAUCACCACAAUAGCCCAUGUUAGACAAUGUUUAUGCCUCUUGCUGUAUAAGGCACUCAGAAAGUUUACCUGAACACUGAUGACAUCAUAAGAGGCAUUUCAAACUACAAAAGAUGCUUCAACCCUCCCCCCACCCCACAUCUAGAAAUCUUCUUGACUGGCUGCCCUCUGGGCUCAAAAACUGGUUUAUAAUUUACUGCAAAUAUUUAUCUUUGUUUUUCUUUUGUUUCUGUAGAAAUGCUUCUUAUUAAAUAACUGAUUGCAUGCUUACAGAAUGUAAGUCUAACUUUGGGAGUUCACCUGCGUCAAUGUCUUCUGAAAUGACUUUAACUAAACAGAACUAUUGUCAGGAUUAAGAGACCGGUUCAAUGAGAUGGAACAACCUGCCAACUCAACUUCUGGACCGUGAAACUUCUUGGGGAAAAUAUCAAAGUGCUAUAUAAACUCCACACAAAUGAUGGCAGCCCAACAUUUUGAACUGAUUUUAAUAUUUAUUUGGCCAACUAAAAGAACUUUUGUUUUUCAUAAGAUUUGAUGACAAGCUUUUCUCUGUCUUGGCACUCGUUGCUCAAAUGUGGCUGGAAGCACUUAAGAAAAUCACUAUCCCUCCUACAUGGGAUAUGACAUACUGGGAAUGAGCCUUCCUGGUGACAAGGGACCAAGGAUGCUUUGAUGUCUGAUCAGCAAUACUUUUCAAUAGUCGAUCAACAAUGCUUUCAAAUGGUUGAUCAGUGAUGCUUUUGGAGAAAGAUCUUGAUCAAAAGUGGAAAAUAUGAAGAAUUGACAUAAGUGGAGCCAUUUUACAAUAGAUCCAGCGGACAUUCCAGAGAAACUGCCUUACUCCUCUUAUUCCUUGAACCUUGGACUGGACUAAAACAGCAAUUGCUUUAUAAAGAAUUGAGAAUCAGCAGAAGAAUGGACAUUUUCAUCAAAGACUGAUGACUGCGGACUUUCUGAACAUAGAAUCAAUAACCAAUCAUGUUGGAAUCUGGACACUAAAGAUUUCUAUCUGAAUUUAUUUGCUCCUCAAAUUGUGAUUUUCAGAUCCCAAAUAAACACUUUGCCUUUUGAACUGGUUUCUGAUUUUUAUAGGUUGACAGCUGCAAGAGAAAC